rnacentral:rRNA from 1 species
UACCGGCAGCCCGAGUGAUGGCCGUUUUUAUUGGGACUAAAGCGUCCGUAGCUGGCCGCACAAGUCCAUCGGAAAAUCCACCCGCUCAACGGGUGGGCGUCCGGUGGAAACUGUGUGGCUUGGGACCGGAAGGCGCGACGGUUACGUCCGGGGUAGGAGUGAAAUCCCGUAAUCCUGGACGGACCGCCGAUGGCGAAAGCACGUCGCGAGAACGGAUCCGACAGUGAGGUACGAAAGCUAGGGUCUCGAACCGG